rnacentral:rRNA from 1 species
AUUGAACGCUGGCGGCAGGCCUAACACAUGCAAGUCGAGCGGAUGAAGGGAGCUUGCUCCUGGAUUCAGCGGCGGACGGGUGAGUAAUGCCUAGGAAUCUGCCUGGUAGUGGGGGAUAACGUCCGGAAACGGGCGCUAAUACCGCAUACGUCCUGAGGGAGAAAGUGGGGGAUCUUCGGACCUCACGCUAUCAGAUGAGCCUAGGUCGGAUUAGCUAGUUGGUGGGGUAAAGGCCUACCAAGGCGACGAUCCGUAACUGGUCUGGGAGGAUGAUCAGUCACACUGGAACUGAGACACGGUCCAGGCUCCUACGGGAGGCAGCAGUGGGGAAUAUUGGACAAUGGGCGAAAGCCUGAUCCAGCCAUGCCGCGUGUGUGAAGAAGGUCUUCGGAUUGUAAAGCACUUUAAGUUGGGAGGAAGGGCAGUAAGUUAAUACCUUGCUGUUUUGACGUUACCAACAGAAUAAGCACCGGCUAACUUCGUG